GAUGAACGCUAGCUACAGGCUUAACACAUGCAAGUCGAGGGGCAGCAUUCUUGUAGCAAUACAAGAGAUGGCGACCGGCGCACGGGUGAGUAACACGCAUCCAACCUGCCUUCAACUCGGGGAUAGCCUUUCGAAAGAAAGAUUAAUACCCGAUGGCAUAGCAAUUCCGCAUGGUGUUGCUAUUAAAGAAUUUCGGUUGAAGAUGGGGAUGCGUUCCAUUAGAUUGUUGGCGGGGUAACGGCCCACCAAGUCGACGAUGGAUAGGGGUUCUGAGAGGAAGGUCCCCCACAUUGGAACUGAGACACGGUCCAAACUCCUACGGGAGGCAGCAGUGAGGAAUAUUGGUCAAUGGGCGAGAGCCUGAACCAGCCAAGUAGCGUGAAGGAUGACCGCCCUAUGGGUUGUAAACUUCUUUUGUGUGGGAAUAAAGUGAGCCACGUGUGGCUUUUUGUAUGUACCAUACGAAUAAGGAUCGGCUAACUCCGUGCCAGCCGCCGCCGUAA
rnacentral:rRNA from 1 species